rnacentral:rRNA from 1 species
GACGAACGCUGGCGGCGUGCCUAAUACAUGCAAGUAGAACGCACAGUUUAUACCGUAGCUUGCUACACCAUAGACUGUGAGUUGCGAACGGGUGAGUAACGCGUAGGUAACCUGCCUGGUAGCGGGGGAUAACUAUUGGAAACGAUAGCUAAUACCGCAUAAUAUUGAUUAUUGCAUGAUAAUUGAUUGAAAGAUGCUAUUGCAUCACUACCAGAUGGACCUGCGUUGUAUUAGCUAGUAGGUGAGGUAACGGCUCACCUAGGCGACGAUACAUAGCCGACCUGAGAGGGUGAUCGGCCACACUGGGACUGAGACACGGCCCAGACUCCUACGGGAGGCAGCAGUAGGGAAUCUUCGGCAAUGGACGAAAGUCUGACCGAGCAACGCCGCGUGAGUGAAGAAGGUUUUCGGAUCGUAAAGCUCUGUUGUAAGAGAAGAACGGGUGUGAGAGUGGAAAGUUCACACUGUGACGGCAUCUUACCAGAAAGGGACGGCUAACUACGUG